rnacentral:ncRNA from 1 species
GAUUUACAUAGAGGUUGCAAUUGACAUAAGUACCAAGACCAAGCUGUUGUAGCAGUGAUGCGGUGUUGUGAAAGGGGAUAUUGCCGAAAUAGUUUAUCACUACCAAGAUAGAUUAUUGGGACAAUAGUUAAUAACUGUUGGACUGUCGUUAGAGAUAACGGUGAGCUAUGGCAACU